rnacentral:rRNA from 1 species
AUUAUUUUUAAUGUAAAAAGGGGAAACUAGAGUAGUAUGAGUUAUGAUCUUGAAACUUAAAGAAUUUGGCGGUAUUAUAGUCUAUUUAGAGGAAUCUGUUAUGUAAUUGAUAAUCCGCGUUGAACCUUACUUAUAUUUUUUUUUGUAUAUCGCUGUUUGGUGAGUAUAUUUUUAGGGGAUUUUCUAGAUAAAUUAUUAAUUAAUAUUUCAAGUCAAGGUGCAGUAAUGUAUAAGGUGAAUAAUGGAUUACAUUAAAUUGUAUUUAUUAUGGAUAAAUUUGUGUAAAUAACUUUUGAAGGUGAAUUUAAUUGUAAUAGUUAAAAGAUUAUAAUGAUGAUUUAUGGCUCUAUAAUAUGUACACAUCGCCCG